rnacentral:pre_miRNA from 1 species
GGCACAGAUGUUAAGUAGAUUGGAUAAGUAGGUCCAGCUGCAUCUACUUAUCUGCCCUACUUCAAAUUUGUGCCC